rnacentral:ncRNA from 2 species
UAUGGAGUAGGAUUCAACGCGUUAAGUGUCGAAGGAACGGAAUGUGAACUUCGAACGAAAAGUAAUGAUGCGACUUAUUAAUUACUUGCGGUGUUGUUUCCGCAUUCGCCAAU